UCUUCUCUGGUAUAUCGGUAGAACAUCACCCUGUCAAAUUGUACUCCGAGUACAACACGGUUGCGGUGAAGAGCUGGGUUCGACUCCCAGGAGGAGAG